AGUACUACUGAUUCCUCUGAGAGUGAGGCAGAUAUAUAUUAUUACUGUAUAAAACCAGCAGUACUACUGAUUCCUCUGAGAGUGAAGCAGAUAUAUAGCAUUUUGCAAAAAAACGUGAUUGUUUCUCUGAAAUGAAACCAUGAAGUGAUAUAUUUUAAUCAAAUACUUGUCUGUCAUUGAACAACCCCAUGCUAUGAUUAGAUAGUGAAAAAACACACCAAUCUCUUUCAAAUUGUCUUUCAGAAAUAAAAGCUAAUUUACAAACUUUUCUAAAAAGUGAUAUAUAGUGUUUUGGAAUGAAACUCUUCUUCUGUUUCCCCAUCUGAGCUCAGAGUAGAUGAGAGAUGUAAUGUUUGUCUCUGUUGUGUUGAAGACCAAUCAAGCAGGAGAGACCAGCCUCCCCUGUUCCCAGCUGUGUGUCCAUGAAGAGUGACGGGUCUAUGAGUCAACCUCUAUACUUUAGAAAGGGAGACUUUUCUACUGAACAAAGGGGUCAGUUCUCUAAAACGAGACUCUCUGGGAACAUGACACCAAAGCUAAGAGUCCAAUCAAGCAGGAGAGACCAGCCUCCCCUGUUCCCAGCUGUGUGUCCAUGAAGAGUGACCGGUCUAUGAAUCCUCCUCUAAACUUUAGAGAGGGAGACUUUUCUACUGAACAAAGGUUUAAGGGCAACGUAGCACGUCUGGUGAACAGAGCAGAGUCCCAUAUCAUCAGUCAGACCAGUAGAAACUGGAUCAGCAGCACAACAAGACCAAUCAAGCAGGAGAGACCAGCCUCCCCUGUUCCCAGCUGUGUGUCCAUGAAGAGUGACCUGUCUAUGAAUCUACCUAUACACUUUAGAGAGGGAGACUUUUCUACUGAACAAAGGUAAGAAGAACUCAUGGGUCCUGGUCAGUGAGUUAAACAACACUGUCUCUAGUCAUUUCUCCUCCCAUUUUCCCAUUUAUUGUUGUUGUUUUCAUAAUCAAUAGGCUAAUCAUUUUGUCCAUUUUCAUAGUCCUAAAACAAUAUUAAACAAACACAACAUUGACUCAGUACUGGUUCUCCUUAUAGCCUCAUUAUUACCUCAACUACCUGGUA